rnacentral:rRNA from 1 species
AAUACGAAGGGGGCUAGCGUUGCUCGGAAUCACUGGGCGUAAAGCGCACGUAGGCGGAUCUUUAAGUCAGGGGUGAAAUCCUGGAGCUCAACUCCAGAACUGCCUUUGAUACUGGGGAUCUCGAGUCCGGAAGAGGUGAGUGGAACUCCGAGUGUAGAGGUGAAAUUCGUAGAUAUUCGGAAGAACACCAGUGGCGAAGGCGGCUCACUGGUCCGGUACUGACGCUGAGGUGCGAAAGCGUGGGGAGCAAACAGGA